rnacentral:rRNA from 1 species
CAGCCGCCGCGGUAAUACGUAGGGUGCGAGCGUUAAUCGGAAUUACUGGGCGUAAAGCGUGCGCAGGCGGUUUUGUAAGACAAGCGUGAAAUCCCCGGGCUCAACCUGGGAAUGGCGCUUGUGACUGCAAAGCUAGAGUGCGGCAGAGGGGGAUGGAAUUCCGCGUGUAGCAGUGAAAUGCGUAGAUAUGCGGAGGAACACCGAUGGCGAAGGCAAUCCCCUGGGCCUGCACUGACGCUCAUGCACGAAAGCGUGGGGAGCAAACAGGAUUAGAUACCCGAGUAGUCCCUGUCUCUUAUAA